GUUGAGUCCUGUGAAAAAUGUACACAGCUAAAUGGAGCAUAUGCUGUCAAUACAGCAGACAGGAUCUAUUACAGUAUCUGAGUGCCCCCUAGCGUAUGUAUCGUUUCUGCCUCAAAUCAACAUUCAAUUCGGAGGAGCCUUCCGACAUGGAAACUGCCUGGGUCUCCCGUCUCUCACAGUGACCAAAGUAGCGUGCGCCCAUUUCUAACUGAUUCAUGUUUAAGAAAAUGUCUUCUUAUUGACUUGGACGUCAUCGAGGUAUGCGUGUUGAUCACUGUUUCGCCUUCGUAGGCACAGGGAUUUUUUGUAUUUUGCUUUUAAUCAUUGAUUGAUAUAGGCUGAUAAUUGGUCUUGAGCGUAACACUUUCAUUCUAAAGCAAACUGCAUGGUCUAAAUGAUAUCACUGUCUGCAGUUUAUUGUAUUGUUUUAUUGUGGAUUCUACUUGACCACUCCAUUGUUGACAGAUCUGCUCCUGGCUUUCCUGAGUGUCAGACUGCUGAGACAUGGAAGGGAUGUGGCCACCUAUUGAAAUGUGAUGGUGGAGAUUAAAAGGAUUUGUCGGGAAGAGUGUGCUUUGGUGUACAUUCACUUUAUGCCAAAAGGGAUUGAUUACAGUCAUUGUUUUAUUUGAAGGCCCAAUGUGGCCUUUGACUAAACUAAACUAAAUUCUGAAAAUCAUGUUAAUUGAUGAACGUCACUGAAUGAUUCUACAUGACCUGGUGUAAAUAACGUUCACUUGAUGACCUUUUGCAAAACUAUAUCACAGAUAAUAGAUUAUGAUGUAAAGAUUUGUAAAAGCAUUAGACAUUGCUUUAUUGCAGAUCUUAUGUUGUCAUGUUUUAACAGAAUGUAUAGAUUUACACCAAUACUAAUGAAUAAUACUAUCUUUAAAUUGUAGAUCACAAAUGUAAGACAUGAAUAAAAUCUACAAAGCAACUUA